GAGAACGGCGUCCCUCUGGAGUGACAGAGGGAUACACCAAUAAGAGACGGAGACAGCUCCGAGGUGGCCCAAUCAGAAAUCGGGAAAGGUGAAGGGCCUGUGCGCAAUCCGAAAGAGGCGAGGUUCUGAUGGAUCGGCAGCGCUUUGGACCAAUGAAAGUCGACAACAGCUUCUAUCUGUCGGCGAUGUAAGCGAGAAGAGAGGAUGAAAAGUUAGGCGGAGUUUAAGGUGACUGGCAGGUGGAUGGACAAUUUGUGUAUUGUCCAAUCAGCACUUCACACACAGGGAAACGGGAGACGGAGGCGGGAUUUGGCGUGUAUGUGGAAGAGUGAGUACAACGAGAGGAAUUACAACUUCCUGAUUGACACUGGAGGGGAAAGACCUAUACCUUUUUCAGAACAAUUAUCUUGAGUUUUGAGUAUAGAUAUGGCCUCAAAAUCAUUUUCUCAAAACAAUUUAAAUGGAAACAGCCUCUUUCUCUGUCUCAUGACUCAUUCUCCACAAACAAUAAUCAUGCUAAAGCACCUAUCGCUAUAGCACAGUAAAACAGCGGAAGAUGCCAAAGGAAGAUGUCUUCAAGGAAAAGAAGGGAAGGAAUGUGAUGGAGGAAACCUGUCAAUUGAGAAGGGAAUGCUUUAGGUGGAAAGUGACCUGUUGUGUUUGUGGAAGCUCUGGAAUCCCACAGGAGAAGGAUCACUCAACACCAUGGCAAUCUGCCAAGUACAACUUGUUCUGAAACACAGUGGCUCUGAGAAGAUGCAUUAUCAUCUGAAACACAAUGUCAUCGUAGUGGGAAGUAGGAUACUAUUGAUUACACUGGUCUACAAUUUUUGAGAAGUCGUCUGCUUCAGAGAUAAAAUGUGAUAUUUAUUAUG